AGAUGUGAGGGCAAUCUGUCUGUGACAUCCAUUGAUUGCCAGGGUUGAUUCAGUGGAUCUAGCUGUUUAGGCAGGUGUCCCCUUCUUUCCUCAUUGCUCUAUGUGCAUCCUUCCCGAAGCUAAGUACUUAGUUGAAGAGGAUGACCUUCCCCAACAGAGGAGGUCUGUACUUCAGUCAAGGGUAUAGGAGUAGCUGUGCUCUCCUGCUAGCCUUCCCAACAAGCUCUCAAAGCCUAUUUAAAAUUGUAUAAGAUUCAACAAUUGGAGAAGACUUACUGAUCUUCCUCUGGAUAUCUGAAGCACUUA
rnacentral:snRNA from 1 species